rnacentral:rRNA from 1 species
UACAGAGGUGCCAAGCGUUAGGCGGAAUUACUGGGCGUAAAGCGCACGUAGGCGGCUUUCUAAGUCGGGGGUGAAAUCCUGGAGCUCAACUCCAGAACUGCCUUCGAUACUGGAGAGCUCGAGUCCGGGAGAGGUGAGUGGAACUGCGAGUGUAGAGGUGAAAUUCGUAGAUAUUCGCAAGAACACCAGUGGCGAAGGCGGCUCACUGGUCCGGUACUGACGCUGAGACGCGAAAGCGUGGGAGCGAACGGG